rnacentral:rRNA from 1 species
AGCGACUUAUAUUCUGUAGCAAGGUUAACCGAAUAGGGGAGCCGAAGGGAAACCGAGUCUUAACUGGGCGUUAAGUUGCAGGGUAUAGACCCGAAACCCGGUGAUCUAGCCAUGGGCAGGUUGAAGGUUGGGUAACACUAACUGGAGGACCGAACCGACUAAUGUUGAAAAAUUAGCGGAUGACUUGUGGCUGGGGGUGAAAGGCCAAUCAAACCGGGAGAUAGCUGGUUCUCCCCGAAAGCUAUUUAGGUAGCGCCUCGUGAAUUCAUCUCCGGGGGUAGAGCACUGUUUCGGCAAGGGGGUCAUCCCGACUUACCAACCCGAUGCAAACUGCGAAUACCGGAGAAUGUUAUCACGGGAGACACACGGCGGGUGCUAACGUCCGUCGUGAAGAGGGAAACAACCCAGACCGCCAGCUAAGGUCCCAAAGUCAUGGUUAAGUGGGAAACGAUGUGGGAAGGCCCAGACAGCCAGGAUGUUGGCUUAGAAGCAGCCAUCAUUUAAAGAAAGCGUAAUAGCUCACUGGUCGAGUCGGCCUGCGCGGAAGAUGUAACGGGGCUAAACCAUGCACCGAAGCUGCGGCAGCGACACUGUGUGUUGUUGGGUAGGGGAGCGU